CUCAUCUCCUCCUCUCAUCUCCUCCUCUCAUCUCCUCCUCUCUUCUCCUCCUCUCUUCUCCUCCUCUCAUCUCCUCCUCUCAUCUCCUCCUCUCCUCUCCUCCUCUCAUCUCCUCCUCUCAUCUCCUCCUCUCAUCUCCUCCUCUCUUCUCCUCCUCUCAUCUCCUCCUCUCCUCUCCUCCUCUCCUCUCCUCAUUCAUCCCUCCUUCCACUGAAACAGCAUUCUGUAGUUUCAGGAAAAGAGGAAGUGACAAGGCAACUUGUUCUGGGUGAAAGGUCACGAAGUGGCUUAGACCAGACUAGUAGAUUAUGAUAGAUGGAGAUGAGUUGAACUCAACAGAGAAACCAGUAGAUGAUAGAUAUGAACAGGUGUAGAUAUGAACAGGUGUAGAUAUGAACAGGUGUAGAUAUGAACAGGUGUAUACAGGUGUAGAUAUGAACAGGUGUAUACAGGUGUAGAUAUGAACAGGUGUAUACAGGUGUAGAUAUGAACAGGUGUAUACAGGUGUAGAUAUGAACAGGUGUAGAUAUGAACAGGUGUAUACAGGUGUAGAUAUGAACAGGUGUAGAUAUGAACAGGUGUAUACAGGUGUAGAUAUGAACAGGUGUAGAUAUGAACAGGUGUAUACAGGUGUAGAUAUGAACAGGUGUAUACAGGUGUAGAUAUGAACAGGUGUAUACAGGUGUAGAUAUGAACAGGUGUAGAUAUGAACAGGUGUAGAUAUGAACAGAUGUAUACAGGUAUAGAUAUGAACAGGUGUAGAUAUGAACAGGUGUAUACAGGUAUAGAUAUGAACAGGUGUAGAUAUGAACAGGUGUAUACAGGUGUAGAUAUGAACAGGUGUAGAUAUGAACAGGUGUAGAUAUGAACAGAUGUAUACAGGUGUAGAUAUGAACAGGUGUAGAUAUGAACAGGAGUAGAUAUGAACAGGUGUGUACAGGUGUAGAUAUGAACAGGUGUAGAUAUGAACAGGUGUAUACAGGUGUAGAUAUGAACAGGUGUAUACAGGUGUAGAUAUGAACAGGUGUAUACAGGUGUAGAUAUGAACAGGAGUAGAUAUGAACAGGUGUGUACAGGUGUAGAUAUGAACAGGUGUAGAUAUGAACAGGUGUAUACAGGUGUAGAUAU